AUACUUAUCUGGCUGGGGAGAUACCAUGAUCACAAAGGUGGUUUUCCCAGGGCAAGGCUUAUCCAUUGCACUCUGGAUGUGCUGACCCCUGCAAUUUCCCCAAAUGUGGGAAACUCUACCAUAUGAUUUGUGGUAGUGGGAGACUGCGUUCAUGCUCUCCUC